AGAAGUUUGGUAGUCAUGAACA
rnacentral:miRNA from 1 species